AUUGAACGCUGGCGGCAUGCCUUACACAUGCAAGUCGAACGGCAGCACGGGAGCAAUCCUGGUGGCGAGUGGCGAACGGGUGAGUAAUAUAUCGGAACGUGCCCAGUCGUGGGGGAUAACGUAGCGAAAGCUACGCUAAUACCGCAUACGAUCCAUGGAUGAAAGCGGGGGAUCGCACGACCUCGCGCGAUUGGAGCGGCCGAUAUCAGAUUAGCUAGUUGGUGGGGUAAAAGCCCACCAAGGCGACGAUCUGUAGCUGGUCUGAGAGGACGACCAGCCACACUGGAACUGAGACACGGUCCAGACUCCUACGGGAGGCAGCAGUGGGGAAUUUUGGACAAUGGGCGAAAGCCUGAUCCAGCAAUGCCGCGUGCAGGACGAAGGCCUUCGGGUUGUAAACUGCUUUUGUACGGAGCGAAACGGUCCUCUCUAAUACAGGGGGCUAAUGACGGUACCGUAAGAAUAAGCACCGGCUAACUACGUGCCAGCCGCCGCUGUAA
rnacentral:rRNA from 1 species